rnacentral:lncRNA from 1 species
CUGAAUAGAUAAAGCAUCAUUGAUUACCAUAAAAGGUAGAGGCAAGCUGUUACGGAAUCUGAAUUGUGUAGGGACACCUGAGAUUAAUCAGUAAACCAUGAACCUGAAGAUCAAUGAUGCCCUAGGGUGUGCAAGAGAAGGAGAAAGAGAGGAGGAAAAUGGUGGUAGGGUUUUUGGGAGAAAGAGCUGUUUCAUUCACUGUAUCAAUUUCUUGACCUAAUUACAUUGUAUAUAUGUACCUAUACAAAAGGUUCAAGCCUGACGCUCAACAAAACUCGCAAUGGCUUGGCUGAUGCGAUGCACUCUCC